UGCUACAGGCUUAACACAUGCAAGUCGAGGGGCAGCAUGGUCUUAGCUUGCUAAGGCCGAUGGCGACCGGCGCACGGGUGAGUAACGCGUAUCCAACCUGCCUUACACUCUUGGACAGCCUUCUGAAAGGGAGAUUAAUACAAGAUGUUAUCAUGAGUAAGCAUUUUCGCAUGAUUAAAGGUUUACCGGUGUAAGAUGGGGAUGCGUUCCAUUAGAUAGUAGGCGGGGUAACGGCCCACCUAGUCUUCGAUGGAUAGGGGUUCUGAGAGGAAGGUCCCCCACAUUGGAACUGAGACACGGUCCAAACUCCUACGGGAGGCAGCAGUGAGGAAUAUUGGUCAAUGGACGAGAGUCUGAACCAGCCAAGUAGCGUGAAGGAUGAAGGUUCUAUGGAUUGUAAACUUCUUUUAUACGGGAAUAAACGAAUCCACGCGUGGAUUUUUGCAUGUACCGUAUGAAUAAGGAUCGGCUAACUCCGUGCCAGCAGCCGCGGUAAUACGGAGGAUUCGAGCGUUAUCCGGAUUUAUUGGGUUUAAAGGGAGCGUAGAUGGGUUGUUAAGUCAGUUGUGAAAGUUUGCGGCUCAACCGUAAAAUUGCAAUUGAUACUGGCAGUCUUGAGUACAGUUGAGGUAGGCGGAAUUCGUGGUGUAGCGGUGAAAUGCUUAGAUAUCACGAAGAACUCCGAUUGCGAAGGCAGCUUACUAACCUGUAACUGACAUUGAUGCUCGAAAGUGUGGGUAUCAAACAGGAUUAGAUACCCUGGUAGUCCACACGGUAAACGAUGAAUACUCGCUGUAGGCGAUAUACGGUCUGCGGCCAAGCGAAAGCAUUAAGUAUUCCACCUGGGGAGUACGCCGGCAACGGUGAAAC
rnacentral:rRNA from 1 species